CCGGGCGUAGCGCAGAGGCAGGCGCGCUCGCCUUGCCCAGGCGAAGAACAUCGGUUCGAAUCCGAUCCCCGGGC
rnacentral:tRNA from 1 species